CUACGGGACGCUGCAGUCGAGAAUCUUCCGCAAUGGACGAAAGUCUGACGGAGCGACGCCGCGUGCGGGAUGAAGGCCUUCGGGUUGUAAACCGCUGUCAGUGGGGAGGAAAUGCAUCAGGGUUCUCCCUGGUGUUUGACCGAUCCGCGGAGGAAGCGCAGGCUAAGUUCGUGCCAGCAGCCGCGGUAACGCGAACUGCGCGAACGUUAUUCGGAAUCACUGGGCUUAAAGAGUUCGUAGGCGGCCUUUCAAGUCGGGUGUGAAAUCCCUCGGCUCAACCGAGGAAUUGCGCCUGAUACUGUUGGGCUUGAGGGGGAUAGGGGUGAGCGGAACUGAUGGUGGAGCGGUGAAAUGCGUUGAUAUCAUCAGGAACACCGGUGGCGAAGGCGGCUCACUGGAUCUCUUCUGACGCUGAGGAACGAAAGCUAGGGGAGCGAACGGGAUUAGAUACCCCUGUAGUC
rnacentral:rRNA from 1 species